GUAUACAACAGAUUGUUAAUUGAUGAAUUGAUUGAUUUAUUUAUAUUUGCAUGUUUGAGGAAACGAUUGCUUCAAAUCUGUUUUGUUGUAAAAUCAUGUAAAAUAUUUGGUGUUUUUUUUUUUUUUUCUCUUUUAGCAAGAAAACCACAGUGACCAAAGUGGUUGAGGUUCGCCAGCCUCCUCCCAAGCCCGAGCCCGUGGUGACCAAGCGCAUUCGCACCGUCGUCGAGGAAGUGGUCGAUGGCAAGGUCGUGUCUCGCACUGAGGACGUGGACGUCUCUGUCCUGAACAAAAAAUAGGAUCAUAUACCCACCCAGUGCAAUGCCAUGACCAUGUAACAUGCCAAGAUAAAUAA